rnacentral:sRNA from 1 species
UACGUCCUUGUUGAGACUACUAUAUAUAUAUAUAUAUAUAUAUAUAUAUGUGUUAUAGUAGUCUCAUCUACUAAUCAUGUCAAUGAACAGUUUUAUUCAGUGCCGGCUAAAUAGCAAAUUUGCUAUUUGGCCGGUGCCGGUCAAAUAGCAAAUU